ACAGAGAAGCAGAACAUCCUUCUUCAACACAUGCAUGAAAAAUAUUUUUUUAUUUUGACCAACAAAUGUGGAAAUAAGCAUUAACACGAAAACGAGGCUGCCUCGUUUUCGUGUUAAUGCUUAUUUCCAUAUUUAUUGACCAAAAUCCAAAAAUUUUUCGCGCAUGUGUUGAAGAAGGAUGGCUACUUCUCUGU